CUCCGUUGGCGGCUGAUUUCAUGUGACUCUCGUCAGAUAGACCCAUGCUUUGUAGAGAUGAUGCUUUAGGGUUUGAAGGAGGGUUAGGGUUUUUGCUUGUUCGGCUCGAGGAAACCUGAACCGAUCCCAGAAAUCCGUCAAGGAGUCUUCCUGAGGAAUCGUGACAUAUACACGAGAUAGCACCCUCCAUUGAUCCAGUAAUCUCAGGCCUCAGCCAAUGGUUCAACCGAACAUUGGAGGGAAAAUUGUAACGCGCAUCAAGCCUUUUUCCAUCCUUGUCUGAUACAAUAGCCAGAUUCCCACCUUUCCAAUCUGCUGAUUCAGCCAAAUAAGGCUCUUGAAGAAAUGGGUACUGGCUCCAAACUGAGCAGGAUUUCGUUCAUUCAUAAGCGUGCUUGAAGCAACGCAUAAUCCAGAUAUGUCCAAUAUUAAGUCUGGACGUUGAUGGUGGCGCCCUUGAGUCUUCCUGUGUUUCUCACGGCCUCAAAUCUGCACGACGAUGACAAGGGUUGCCUUUCUCAGGCGACCACCCGCUAUGGUUGGAUUCCCUAGGUGACCAUCUGUGGUGGUUGCACUCUCCAGGCGACUACCAGAAGGGUCGCCUGAGAACCUGCUAUGGUUGCACUUCCCAGGCACCCAUUCGUGGUGGUGGUGGCACUAUCCAAGGGAUCACCAUAGCGGUGGUCACGAUCUUUGCCGUGCUGGCUGCGGCAAUUUUGGCAUUUACGUUAUCUUAUUUGGCCUUUUUCAGUUUUAGAAUUGAAUUUUUAUUCUUUCUUCAAUCCUAUCCUAAUUAAGUGCACUCACUUGAUGAGAUUUAUCCCUCAAUAUGAAGGAAUUUGCUAUCUCAUCUUAUUCUAUCGUAGCUCAAUUCCUGUAUUCACAACUAAACAGG